ensembl:lncRNA
GGCCUUCAUCAUUCUUACCUGGUCUAACACAAUUUCCUUCCAAAUAUUUUCUGUGCAUCUAAUUUAUCCCCAUUGUUAUUUAUCCUUUAUCAUGCUGCCCCAGAGUUAUCUUUCUAAAACAGGAGCUAAUACGUUUUUCUAUAGAGGGAUAGAUAGUAAAUAUUUUAGGCUUUGCGGAUCGUGUGGUCUCUGUGGCAACUGUUUAACCCUGCCACUGUACCAUGCUAGUAUCCGUAGACAAUACAUAAAUGGAUGGCUGUGGCUGUGUUUCAAUACACCUUUACUUACAAAAACAGUCAACAGGCUAGAUUUGGCCCAAGUGCUGUAGUUUGCUGACCCCUGUCCUACAACAUAACUUGCAACAUGUAUCUCCCCAACAAAGUCUUUCCAUUUUCUACAGAACAUAAUAUUCACCAUCUUUCUAAAUCUGGCAUCAUCCCUAACUUAGCACUUAAGACCAAUUGCCUCAAACUCUCCAGUUCUCACCUAUAUUCUGACAUAUUCCUAAUAUCUUCUGAUUUGAUGGAGAUGAGAAGAUGGUUUAGUGGUAGGUAGGCUUGGGGAUUUGGUCGUGGGAAGAUGGAAUGCUUCCAUCUGAUAGUUCCAUAUUUUUAGUAAAGUAUGGGCAAGGACACCAGCCUACAGAUAAAGGUGGAAGAGGUGGGGCAGAAGAUCCAAAAGAGAGGAUCCAGAUCAAUAUGAUCAUCCUGGGGAACAGCAAAGUAAAUUCAUUAGAGAAAUGUAGCAAGAUUUCUGGGUCAUAUCAAGAUUCAAACUGUGGCCUAACGUUAUGAAUUUAAAGCAAAACUAGCCACCAGAUUAUGUGAUUUCUGUGAUUACUAAGACUUUCCUGUUUAGAUGCAAACAAGGGAAAAGUCUGAAGGAAGGAGAGUUCACACAUGGAUUGAGGCUUUGUAAGGUGAGCUCAAGUGAGGGAAAGAAGAAACUGGGAGUUGAAAGUAUUUGCAAAAGGGCACUAUGCAGAUGAUAAUGGAAUCUGUGCUGAACAAGAUGGAAAGUGAUGACAAGAGAAAACUGAUGGAUAAUAAGAGAAUGAUGGGAUGGAAGGGUCAAAUGUCCCCCUCAUUGAAGAACUAUGUGGUUGUAUGGACGUACUUGUAUCAAUGAACUGAAUGCAUAGGAAGCUGUAGUGGGAAAGUUAGAUGUUUCUUUUUGAAAAGGUUUAUAUUUUUUAAGAGAUGUAAAGGUCCAGGGUGUGACCAUAAAGUGAUUGAAGUGGAAAAAAGGAAAUGUCAAUGGAAUAUGGAAAUCAAGAAACUUGGAAGCUGGGGCUUUUUGAUGGGUUGUCCCCUUAGAUAUUGAAAUUACUAAGGAUAAAGGAAGGAAACUGGAAAUGGAAGACGCUGCCAGGAACAGAAGACUAUUGAAUGAGCAGAUGUGACUAGGAGGUUGGCGGAAGGGUCUAAGGAGGUGUAGGAAACAGUGGUAUAUCCAGAUGACAUUAGCAUUAAAAAAACAGUGAUUUUUGCAGGAGGGAAAGUGUGAGAUAAUUUGAAAGUAGCAAUGUACCUACCUCAACUCCUGGCCCUGAUGUUCACUCAGGGCCCAGGUAUGUUUCAAGUAAGGCAAGGAGGUGAAGGGACUGUUUGAAGGAAAGGGAACUGCUGAUCACAGAUUGGGGUCACAGAGACACUGAAAGGAUUUGUUUGGGAAGGAAGAGAAGUGGAGAAGAUAAACAGAGCUGUGGGUUAAGAAGUGGUGAAAAACAAUGACUGAGAGAGGCGGAGACUCCUGCAGAUUAGUGAGGUACACAGGGAUGUGAAGCGUGGUGGGACUGGUUCUGAGAGGCUCACCUUGUAAUACUGUUGGUGGUGUGUUAGCCUCAGGCAUUAAGUUAUGGCAUGCCCUCAGGACUAAUAGUUACUCUCUCAGCAGCUGAGAGUUCUAGAAUCAUCUGCCACAAUAAGCUCCAUUAUCUUGGGCAAGGAAUUUAGUGCCUCUCAAAACCUCUUAAAACCUCAUGUUCGCCAUCUAUGCCAUGAGGAGUUCGUCUAAGUAAUCUCUUGAACUUCUUCAGACAUUUUAAAUAUCUGAGUGUGAAGGAAUGGGAUCAUGCCACUGAGAAAGGAAGUCCUGGACCUGAGAGCAUUUGGCUGUUGAGUUUCCUCAGUCUUCUUUAAUCUGGAAGCUUUCUUCAAUCUUUGCUUGCCUGUCAUGACCUUGGCAUUUUGUUUUCUAGAGAAGCCCAACAUCCAAAGUCAGCAAGAGAAAAGAACAAAGGGAUGAAAACAAGAAACACCCAUGUCAUUCACAGUGGAAAACAAUGAAGCCUGUGCAGCCCACGGAAGGAUCCUGCAGCCCGCUUUCUGGACAUGAGACCCAGACGGCCCUGAAGAGCAUCUUUACGUGGAGGAGAUUCAGAGCAACUUUGAGGAGAGGAUGGCUGACCAUCUAACAUAAAACCUAGACUAGGGGAAGGACUGGGUUAAAGGCUGCAGGAGAGCCGUGUUCCUUGAAUUCCAUGCAGGGAAUUUUAAGAGUCAAGGAGAUUGAGUAUCAUAAAUGUGAAGGUGUUCACCUGAGACAGAUCAGCCAACUGGAACUUCAACACAGGAUUUCAACCCAGGCUGUCCAGGCUUUUCCUGUCAUGUCAUACUGCCUUUUAAAACAGACAGUUGUUUGCAUUUGACAAAAAACUUCAUGAGGAACUGACAUGCCAGCACAGAUGAAGUGGGACAUAAACACCAUGCACAGAGGUACACAUCCAAUCCAAGAAGAGGAUGCAGACCAGACAAGGUUUUGCUUUUCCCGGAUGUCUUCUGGAACUCCAUCCCUACCUGAGGCUUCCACGCUGGAUUACAGGCAUUCCUAGGCUCUCUCUUAACCACCACUCAUAGCUUGCAUCACUGUUUUAAUUGUUUGCUUUCUAUAUCCCCUCUGGAUAUGACUCUUCUAUGUCAAAAUUAUUCAUUGUAGAAUUCCCUAGCCCAAUGCCUGGCAUGAAAUAUUAAAUAAAAUAAUGAAUGUUUGGGAUAAACUAAUGUGACAUGAAUGUAGGGGACACGGUAGUCUGAGCCAGGUUGCAGAGGGCCUUAAGUGUGCUUCUAAAUGAGGUUACAGAUAUUAUCACGUGCUGGGCAGCAGGGAUCCAGUGACGACUUUGAGUGGUAAAAGGACGUGGUGCCUCUGGUGGCAAGUGGGGUGUGGACUGGAAUGGGGAAUGGCUGGCAGCUGGAAGACAUGGCCCUGAUCUCCCUCUCUGAGGGGAACUGAUGCAGUCAGUGUAUAGAGAUAGGAGUGUACUAGCCUGCAGCCUGGUUAUGGGCUGGGGGCGGGGGGAGGAGGGGACACAUUCUGAAUAAUAACAUCCUAUGGGAUUUCUAAGUUUGUGACCAAGCUGGCAUCUGCAUCUAGGUUACUGGGUUCUAGAACAUGGAGUGGAGGCAUAGGAAGGCCAAGAAUAGGAGGUCGGGAAGUGAGGACGUGAAAGAAUUCCCUGUGCUGAGCAGCAUGCAGCCACCAUGAAUAUUUACUGGAGGCAGCUUGCCUGUUAAGGGUAGUGACAGACUGGUGGGUAGAGAGAAGAGGGAGAAAUCAAAAAAGACUUUGGUUUGGGUAACCUGGUGAGUGCUGAUGCUUUAGCAGGUUAGGGAGAGGAGGAGGAGAGGAGAAGGAGCAGCAGCAGCUUGCUAGGGCUGCAAUCAGAUUGGACAACGAGGGAGGGAGGAAUAGGUGGCAGAUACUUCAUGGAUUUUCUUGAGUCCCAGUUGGGGAACUUAGACAAAAAAUCAAGAUUUUUCAUUGUGUUUUAAAUUUAAUCUGUGAGAAUCACUUUAUUUUACUCAUAAAAGCUUUUUUAUGAACAGCAAUGCCUUAGCUGUGUUCCUAGUUCUAAGAGAGCCUCUUCAAACUUUUUACACAAGUCUAGUUAAUUAGGGUCAGAUCAAGGAGGUCUGAGUCGAUGGGUUAAGCGUCUUCAGGUUGGUGAGUAAGAUCAGCCUCCUAGGGCAAAUGGUUUAAAUAUUUAAGCAAAUUUUUUUUCUAUAAUAAAUAUUUUCCAUGUAGUUGCCUAUAAUAAACACUCACAGUCUCAAGAUGGUAAAUCAGCAGAACUUGGAACCACCUACACAAAAUGUUCACUAUAUGGAGAAAGAAAAUAGACUUAGAUCAAAACCUAAUUUUAUGACAAGUUAUAGAGUAAGUACCACUUUAAGAUACAUUUUUAUGGUAACUGAUAUGUAAAUAUUCUCGAAUCUUCUCUCUUAUCUAUCCAAAAAAGGGCUAAUUGUUAAGCUAGUGCUUUGCAUUUCCAAAAUUACUUCCAUCAACAGCUUUGUAAACUUUCUCUUAAAUCGUUUGCCAGAAUAAUUAUGGCCUAUGGAUUUAAAUAGGAUUUUAUACCGUUUUGUUAAUUAGCUUAGUCAAAGAUAUUUGGGGCUUAUCAUACUGAAUGAAAUAUUGUUCUAUUUCUUUUUUCUUACAGUGUUUUUUUUCCUCAGCCUAAAAUAGGUGUACUCGUUCCUGUGCCAAAGAGUAUGAAAAGUCUCAGGAAGAAUUUGGCAGUUUUUCCUAGAGUAUAUAUUUUGCUUGAGGAACUUGUCAGUUGCAAAAUGGGGGAGGCUAAUUAUUUUAACACAUUUUUAUAUUAAAAUAAAUAUGUUAUGCUAGAAUGAAAAUUCACAUGAAUUUAUGCAUAUUAAAAAAGAACUGCACACAAGACUUCAAAUAGCUAUUAAGCUGGGUGCCAGCAUUUUCAGCUUCUCACUCCAUCUCUGGGUGAGGUUUCUUGCCUUCUAAAGAUGGUCUUGUAGAUGGGGCAUUUAUACCCAUCACUCUGGGUUCUGUUCUAAACAGACUUGAAGAAGAUGUCAUAAGAGAAUCAAGAGCCCAGAAAUAAACCCAAGCAUUUACAGUCAGCUAAUAUUUGACAAGGGAGCUAAGAAUACUCAAUGGAGAAAAGAUAGUCUCUUCAAUAAGUGAUGCUGGAGAAACUGGAUGUUCACAUUCAAAAGAAUGACACUAGACCCCUAUCUUACACCACUCACAAAAAUUAACUGAAAAUAGAUUAAACACUUAAAUGUAAGACCUGAAACCAUAAAACUACUAGAAGAAAACAUAGGGGAAAACUGCCUGACAUGGGUCUUGGCAAUGAUUUUUUGGAUAUAACACAUAAAGCACAAGCAACAAAAUAAAAAGUAAAUAAGUAGGGGGCCAGCCUGGUGGUAUAGUAGUUGAGUUCACACGCUCUGCUUCUGUGGCCUGGGGUUCACGGGUUCAGAUCCCAGGUAUGGGCCCAUGCACUGCUGAUCAAGCCAUACUCUGGUAGGGUCCCACAUACAAAAUAGAGGAAGAUUGCCACAGAUGCUAGUUCAGCGACAGUCUUCCUCAAGCAAAAGGAGAAAGAGUGGCAGCAGAAGUUAGCUCAGGCCCAAUCUUCCUCUCCAAAUAAAUAAAUAAAUAAGUGGGACUUCAUCAAACUAAAAAGCUUCUGCAGAGCAGAAGAAACAAUCAAAAAGUGAAAAGUCAUCCUAUGGAAUGGCAGAAAUAUUUGCAAAC